rnacentral:rRNA from 1 species
AUUGAACGCUGGCGGCAGGCCUAACACAUGCAAGUCGAACGGUAACAGGAAGAAGCUUGCUUCUUUGCUGACGAGUGGCGGACGGGUGAGUAAUGUCUGGGAAACUUCCUGAUGGAGGGGGAUAACUACUGGAAACGGUAGCUAAUACCGCAUAACGUCGCAAGACCAAAGAGUGGGAACUUUGGGCCACUUGCCUACGGAUGUGCCCAGAUGUGAUUAGCUAGUAGGUGGGGUAACGGCUCACCUAGGCGACGAUCCCUAGCUGGUCUGAGAGGAUGACCAGCCACACUGGAACUGAGACACGGUCCAGACACCUACGGGAGGCAGCAGUGGGGAAUAAUGCACAAUGGGCGCAAGCCUGAUGCAGCCAUGCCGCGUGUAUGAAGAAGGCCUUCGGGUUUUAGAGUACUUUCAGCAGGGAGGAAGGGAGUAAAGUUAAUACCUUGACUCAUUGACGUUACCCGAAGAAGAAGCACCAGCUAACUCCGUG